CAUCUGACAUCAGCCCCCACCUGGGGCGGCCCCCGCGCGCGCCGCGCUCCGACCCAGCCGCUCCAUGCUGCUCGCGGGUCCCGGCUCUGCGGUUCGAACGCGGCCGCCAGACCCGCGUCCCGCCCAGCUCUUGACUGACAAGUCUCUCUGCCAUUCGCGAUGCGUCCUGACCACGACUCCGCCCCCUACCGCGAUGUCUGUCCAAUCAACGGUCAAUGUGGCGGGGCGAGGCGGUUUCCUCGGAGACGGACGCUCGAAGUUGCAGGCAUCUGGGCGGUACUUAGCGUUGAGUAACAGAUUCGUCCCCCAAUAAGAGUGCAGCAUCUUGCGCAUGUGCGCGCUCCAUUGGGCAGAGGAAGGAGGAGGCGGGACUACUCGCUGAACUUGAGGACGCCAAGCGACUGACGCUAUGGAGACGGGCUGGGGCGGGCAGCCAGCUGCGGUUCCUAUGAUGAGGCGAGCAGAACUGCAUCCUCUAUUCAAGUUAUUCAGCAGAGGGGUGGAGCCUAUCAAGUGCCCGUAUCCAUAUCCUUCCUACUGCCACAGGAGAAGGGAGCGAGACACUCACAAAAGGUACUUUUCAGCUGCUCCCUAGAAGAUAGCCAGAUUGUUCCUGAUCACAUUUCUCUCCGAUUCAAGCUUCCAACUAGUAAGCACACUGCUCAGCUGGGACAGAACAACACUUUCUGCCUGAUGUACCAAGCCUGAAGCCUACCCACCCUGCUGUGUCCUGAGAGAUGAAUGACGGGUACUGGAAGAUGCAGGAGUGGAGACUGCGAGGGAGAGACGGGAAACGUGUCCUAUGGAUUAAUCAAAGAGUUGAUUUCCUCGCUCUUAGUACCUUGCCGAACAAGAAACCCUGGGCCCAGGAGAGUUGGGGAUGUUCCACAGCCCAGUCCCUGGGACAGGAGGGAAGAGACUAAUAUGCCAAGAACACUGGUUUUCUGCAUCUCAUUAUCUUUUGAAAAUGAGCUACAGAAGGGACAUCCUCCAGACAGGGACUGACUUGCUAAGGCCCCCACAGCUUCUUUUAUCAGAGCCUCCAGGGCUCUCGUUGGCCUACGCAGGCCUGGAGGACCCACCGCCACUGCUCCUUUCCUGGGACAGGGGGUAGUAGGACUGUGGGGCCUCCAGCAGGCGGCCAUGGAGACCUGGCACACCCCAUCACACCAUCUUUAACGCAGUUAACAGACUGCCAACCUGGGGUUUUCCCUAUAAAACUCUCCACAGCAAUACGGAAAGGGAACAAGGGACGCUGUUAGAAUGAAAGGCUUACUUAAUUCUCUACAUUUACAUGUUUUAACUGUUUUUCCUUCCUUUUCUGUAUCUUUAACGAAAAGGAUACAAAGCUGUCUGCUGGUGGUUGUUACAAUGGCAGUUGCCAGCGAUAACCUGACACAAAGCCCCAGACCACAUGUAACUUUCACAUCACAGCAAACAAGGGAUUCGUUAAGAUCUUAUCCCUUGUUGGGCCUGAGACACUCCCCUUUACAACACCGCAGGGGCAACAUAGUUCUGGCCAAGGUCGAGUCCCUUCCCAGACAACAUGCACAGGUGGAAAAGGAAAUGCAAAAUAAAGCAUCAAGAGACCUGGAAACCCCACUGCCCACCCGGUACGCGUUGUAGGGCACUGUCUGAGAGUCUAGCUGAGCAAAGGCAGGAGCACCCAGUGGCUGGAGCACAGGGAGUGGAGCCUUGCGCUUGGUCAUUCUGACUGCGGCUCUGACACAGGCGCACAAUGUGGCCUUUCCCUCUAGUCCCUCGUUUGCUCUAACAUGGGACUAGGCCGGUUUCUCACCAGGGCAGGGACGGGGCAGGAUCAGUUACCUGGAAAGAAGGCAGCUGCAAAAAUGUCACAUUCACCUAAGAGCAGAUGAACAGAGGGAAGACGUACCCUCAUCUCACAAAAAUGGCCUGGCUUGGAGAAAACACCGUCUCCUUCCACCUCUAAGGCUCCAGAGCCCAAGUACCUCUGACAGGCCUCCCAGUUCCUCUUCAGCCGGCUACAGCUGGGCGGGCUGGCAGGCUAGCAAAGGACAGGAUCCACCCUCUCCUGAUGGCCCUUUGCCCUGAGAAGAGGCCCUGACAGCUGGCCAGGAGGAGGAGUUUAUUGUGGCCUUUGCUGUGCAGCGCUAGCCAUUCAGAACUGUGAGUCGCCACCGAGCGGCUCCGCUGCCAUCUCUGUCACACCAGGCCCCUGCCAGGAACCCGGGACUGGUUCUCUAGAGAUACGACUUGACGUCCCAGUUGAAAGAUUCUAUAAAAAUACCCAAGAAGUGGCUUCGAGUCAAGCCAGAACUGCCGCACUACAGGUGUUGGGCCCUCUUCCUGCUUCCAGACACUCCUCUCCUUUCUGCACACUUACCCCCGGCUGGACAGAGCUUUUCCCUCUGGCGUGGUGUUUUCAGGGGCUUCCAUUCCACAGUCCACGCUGUCCCCAGGGCCGCCAGCACCACCAGCGCCGUUCUGCAGAGUCACAGAAGGUUUCUCCUCAGCCCCCAGAACUAUUUGCGUUUGUUAGUGACGACUGGGCUUCGAAGGACCCCGUUCCAUAACCUGUCUUGUCUGGCACCAGUCAGCAGCGACAAGGUCCCAUCUCCUGGUGACAGACACAGAGGUAGCAGGCCCAGCAUUCAUCGGGCCUAGCACCAUUCAGGCAGCAUACAGGUUGAGGGAGGGCAUGAUGGGAGACCAGGCCUGAGAGGCAGGCUGUGGAGAGGGGGAGGGUUCAGACUCCAGAGCUGAGUGUUUUUUGCUGCGAUAGGAGACAGAAUCUUCAAUUAAAACCUGAAAAAGCAGAUCAGCUUUGAGGUUUGUUAAUCAACGCAUCCAAAACAGGACAGAACUCCCCACAAUGCAACCAGCCCUCGCCUCUCUGGAAUAUUUCCCCUUACAGUCACUUUACACAAUGCCAUGUUAUCCUGGGACCCUGCCACCUCUCUCCCCUGGCAGGACAGCUCAGGGGUGGCUCAUAUCCUCUCCCCCACUAACUAGAGGCUGGCUCACAGGUGUGGGGAGGGGGAGAAGUGGGACUGCAUUCUAACCAGCAGGACUUUGGGCCAGUGAACAAAACCCUUGGGAUGAGGCGGCUCUGAGCAUCACACGCCAUGCCUGGAAGGCAGCAGUUUGCAAUGAGGAGUGAUUCCCCACUGGAUCCCAGCCCCACCGUAGGGGGAAGUCUCUGUGCCCCAUCUCCAAACCUGCCAAACCUGAGAGAUGCCUGCGACAGAGCUGCAGUUGGAGUAUGAAAUGCAGUGAGUCCAAAAAGUGCAGCAGGAUACAAUAAGACGGAGGCAAACCCAGGACAGGGGGAAAUGGCAAAAUCUAUUAAUCUGGGACUUGUGCUCCUGUUUCAGGCACCUGGUUCCCAUUAAUAUCACCACACUAGAUCCCUGACUGCACCAGCAUCUCCACCCUCCCUCCAGCCUUGUAAAUUCAACCACAGAUUUAAUUUUUACAGAUUCCGGCUGCGCAGGAGGAGGAGCAAAUGGUGGUGAUAGAGCCAGAACCUGUCACAGUGAGAGUGUAACCACCCAGAGACCCUGCCCGCGAGAGCACCCAGAUGACAUGCCAAGGGAUUGCUUCCCGCCUGGAGCCCCUUCCCCACACAACAGGUGGGAUAAGCAAACCCCUUUUCACCUGGCCAUUUUCCAAGAGCAGAGUAUGGCUAGGCCGAAGGGCCACAUGGUAAAGUAAUUAAUAUGCCUAUGCUGUUCUCCCCCACUGAGUUCAGUGAUCAAAGGCCCUGCUGAGCAGGAAUGGAUACAGCCUCACAAAAUGGACACUGAAAUUCUACAUUAAAACACAGCUGUGCCCAAAAACUCAGCAGUCUAUGCACACAUUAAUCUGAUUACAGAGAGGAAGGGGAGCUUUUCCCUGUCUCUGCCAUGCUAAUAAUUUUCUGUCAGUUCUGAUUUUGCUUUAACCUCCCUCUAGCCCUGCUGAUGUCCCUGUGCACCAACAAAGUGAAAACAGAAGGUACUGUGAAAACUCAGGGAUGGAACACUGGCCCCAGUUUGCAGGUGCUUCAGAAUUUUGUUCACUGCCAAUACACAGCUGUUUCAGUCCCCUUCAGGCAAAGGCUGACCCCAGAUUUUUUUUUUUUUGUUAACAUUCUGUAGUAGCAACAGAGGGGAAAUAGUUGGAAAAUUCCCUUAUCAACAUGGCCAACAACACAUGACAUCUGUUCACUCACCGCUGGACACAGAGGGAAUAGAAGAUUAAAGAAGAAAAUACCACGGGAUUGCCAACACCAGGAGCUCAGAAGUCACCAGUCAGGCCACAAAAAUCAUGAGCUUUCUUUAGACAGAUUAGAUUGUGUUUUUUGGUCUGAUUUUAUAACUCACCUGGCCCCUCACAAUAGUCGUGAGACAGUCACAGCACUGCCAAUGCUCACAAUUUAUUGUCAGGAACGUGGUUUUGGCUC